AACGAACGCUGGCGGCAUGCCUAACACAUGCAAGUCGAACGAGACCUUCGGGUCUAUUGGCGCAUGGUUUUGUAACGCGUGGGAACCUUCCCUUAUGUUCGGAAUAACUCCCCGACUGGGGUGCUAAUACCGGAUCAUGUCUUCUGCCCAAAGAUUUAUUGCGUUUGGAUGGUCCCGCGUUGGAUUAGCUCGUUCGUAGGGUAAUAGCAUACCACGGCGACGAUGCAUAGAUGGUCAGAGAGGAUGAUCAGCGACACUGAGACUCAGACACGGCCCAGAAUCCUACGGGAGGCAGGAGUGGGGAAUAGUGGAAAAUGGGCGAAAGGCUGAUCCAGCAAGGCCGGGUGAGUGAUGAAGGCAUUAGGGUUGAAAAGCUCAUUUAACCGGGAAGAUAAUGACAGUACCGGGAGAAUAAGCUCCGGCUAACUCCGUG
rnacentral:rRNA from 1 species